rnacentral:rRNA from 1 species
UACGGAGGGUGCAAGCGUUAUCCGGAUUCACUGGGUUUAAAGGGUGCGUAGGCGGGUAAGUAAGUCCGUGGUGAAAUCUCUGAGCUUAACUCAGAAACUGCCGUGGAUACUAUUUGCCUUGAAUAUUGUGGAGGUGAGCGGAAUAUGUCAUGUAGCGGUGAAAUGCUUAGAUAUGACAUAGAACACCAAUUGCGAAGGCAGCUUACUACGGGAACAUUGACACUGAGGCACGAAAGCGUGGGGGAUCAAACAGG